UACGGGGGGGGCAAGCGUUGUUCGGAAUUACUGGGCGUAAAGCGUGUGUAGGCGGACGCCUAAGUGUCUUGUGAAAUCCCACGGCUCACCCGUGGAACUGCUGGGCAUACUGGGCGUCUUGGGCCAACUAGGGGCAGCCGGAACAAGCGGUGGAGCGGUGAAAUGCGUAGAUAUCGCUUGGAACGCCGAAGGUGAAAACAGGCUGCUGGGGUUGCGCCGACGCUGAGACACGAAAGCCAGGGGAGCAAACGGG
rnacentral:rRNA from 1 species